UUUGGAGAUUUUGAUGAGAAAGGCUGCAUUUUGAGGCUGUCAUAAGAAAUACCCAAAUUUCAUUAUUUUUCCACCUUUGUGAGUCGGAUUUUGCAAUAAAUAUCUGUCUAUGCAUUAGAUGUGUAAAGUUUGCAUUGCGUAUCUUAUAGAUUCUACUAGAAUUGCGCAGAUACGCAUGUGCGCAGACUAUGGUACCUUGAGCGAAGUUCGUGCAGGAUCGAUCCACUCCACUUAAUUACCACUAGGGCCUACACCAUGCUCCACUUACACGAACUUCGAGACCAUGAACUCGAUCUGAUAUUCUGAGUGACAAAAGGUGGGAUUUUAUGGGGGUGAAAUAUGAAAUUCAUGCAACAUCACGAUCUUUACACAAAGUUUCACUUCUUUCCAUGCUUCUAUUAGUAUUAGUCUCAAAAUUGGUGAUUUGAAUUAUAGCCUACAUGAACUGUGAUGAAGAUCCUCACACAUAAAAUAAUUCACUGCCGAUGAUCGCAUGCGGAUGCGAUAUGCGCGAGGUACCGGGUCCGGUACAAGCUCGGACCGGGCCGUCCUCAAGCACAUAGCCUACGUGUAAUGUAGGCCUGGCUAGAUCUAUUUCUAGUCAACUUUAUUCAAUUUUGUACGUCUACAUAUGUGUAUGUUAAACCCCAUUAAAAUCUAGGUCUAUACUAUAGGUCCAAACCUAGAUCUAAAUCCUGGCCUAGCUUGGCCAAUAGUCCCUUAUUGGCCAGCCUAGCGAGGACAGGCCUACAUGCAAAUAGCAACAGAUCUAAAUGUUACAUUGUAAUUGCAGAUGUAUGUACAGUUUGUGAAUGAUCAGAAACUAAUUUUGAAUCUGAGAUACAGGAAUUACAUUUAGGUUGACUUCAUGUAAAUUCCCCACUGUGCACAGGGGAAUUUUUUAUUGAGAAUUUCUACAAUUUAUCCACUUAUUCCAUCAGUUCUCUAUAGAAUAGUCAGAUAACUUGUGUAAUAAUUAAUGUUACUAUUCUUGAUCUUUGAUUCAUGUUUAUCACAGUUAAAUGUUGCAGAAGAUGAGCACGAAGAAGACACCUACUGGAUGCAAUAUUACUCAUCACCUGACAACAUUGUUGUUAAUGUGACGAACCUCUGUACCGAGAUAUGAGUUGACUAGAGGAAACCCGCGACCAAGCACAGCAGAAAUUCUUGACAAAUAUCUACAGCUUUUGGGAAUGAUUGAUCAAGACUUUGAUUUAACAAUUGAUGCAGCUCCUGGUGCCCUUUUCACAAUGUGGCCAAAGUUGUCCAGGCAGACUUUGGAAUUUGCGGAGAAGAUUAAUCAAGGGUAUAGAAAGAUCCUAGGGGCUGGAGUGGACCAGAAAAUGACGCAGAGUCAACAAUGAAGAAAAUUUGACUUUCAGUACUUCCUGGGAUUUCGAUCAGCAGAACGAAAGGGGAAUGAGGCAAAUUAAAUGUGCCGUACUUCAAAGUCUUGAAUCUUUCAUCAAUCUCCAAUUAGAAGGAGCAUGAAGAAAAAGAAGAUGAACAGGAAUUGACAAUGGCGCGUUCCAUAACUGGGAGUGAUUGCACAGUGGCACCCUUGGACCUAAUUUCACCCUGACAUCAAGUUGGUUUUAAGGAGAACCAUGAGAGAAAUUAAUAAAUUAAAGUUUGGCGAAUAUCAAAGAAUAAGAGUUAUGAGGCUUCAAAGUUUUAAAUUUGUGACAUGACAUGCGAGCAGCUCCCAAUAUGUCAAUCAUGUAAUAUAAAUUCCAUAAAUUGCCAUUUUUUAAUGGUUUUCAUGAUAAUUAAAUGGGUUUUUAUCAGAAGCUUGUAUGAAAUAAUGUUUCUGAUAACAUUGAAUCCACAGGUAAAAUCAUUUCCAAUUUCCCUAGAAAAGGCACUUGUAUAGAAUUGAUAUCACAUAAAAUAUGGGGAGCUGCUCGCAUGUGAAGUCACAAAUUUAAAACUUCAUAACUCUUAUUCUUGGUGGAUUUUCACCAACUAACAUGCAAUGUCAGGAUGAACCUUGCCUUUAAACCUUAUAUUGGCAGCAUUUCAUUGACAUUUACAUACAGUAUUUUAGGUUUUGUGAGCAAGUAUAUGAAAAAGGUGCUAAUUAACACCUACUUCCCCUUCUUAACCCUAAACAGGCCGGGGGGGGGGGGGG